AUGGAAGCUCUCAAGAUCUUGUCUACUCUGGCUAUAAUUUCUACUUUUUGCCAAAGCGUUAUACCAUGUGGCCUGUCAACACAUAUUGAAAUAGAAAAUAUUUUGAUUGAAAAUAUUUUAAGACAACACGUCAAGAAUGACAUCUUGAGAAUGAAUAAAGUAAAUGCCCGGCAUAUUAAUUCUCCAAAGCCCAGUCAGUUAGGAGUAUCAUUCAAGGGUCUAUCAAAAGGACUAAUGUUGUAAUUAUAUUAUCUGUAAGUCCUUCCAAAAUUCAUAAUGUAAUGCGAUUGUCCAAAGCCCACUCUUGUUACUGAAAUAGGGGUUUUUUUUUUUUUUAAAAAAGAACUAUUUUCCAACAAACUAGGUCUCUCUGGUUCUCCUUUGGUAUGCCUUAUAUUCAUGAUCAAUUUCUUGGACUAUGCCAAAUCCAAAAGUCCUUCAAACUAUGUUUGAAUGUUGAAAUCAAGGAGUUUUGAUGUAAACAUUCAAACAUAGUUCCCGUAAAACUAUGUUUGAUUGUUGAAAUCGAAACCCCUUGGAACUAUGUUUAAAUGUUGAAAUCAUUGGCAUGGUUCUAAUUUUGGGUGAUUUGAUUACACAUGACAAACAAAAGUUGUGUGAUUAAGCAUUUGUUAUGUAACAGUGCAUGACUAUCUAGAAAAAGAAUAUAUAUCCUUCAAUAAAUUAAAAUAUAGACAUUUAAUUUCUAAUUGGCAGAUAAUACAAACCAGCUCAAACCUGAUAAUUGCUUUGGAGUCUCCUGCAGUUUGAUUUGUUAUAUGUUUCAAUCUUAUCAAACCCAACCAAGUGAUUUUGUAGUGCAUCCAUACUAUUGUUUUAUCUGAUGAUCCAUUAAAUAAAUCACUAAUUGAUAAAUAAGCAGUUAAUAAGAGCAUCAGAUCUCUUCCCAUGGAAAAAUACAUCUUACAAACAAUACUCUACUGUUUCCUCCAGUAUAGUACCACCCCUUGUUUAAAUGGAUUUAUAACUAAGGAUAAGAUUUUGGGGCGCAAAUUUCUUCUGUCAACAUCAGUGUAUGAUUAAAAAUUGAGUCCCUCCUUUCAUAUUAGUCCAAUAAACCGAACCAUCAUUUCUAAUCAAUGAUAUAGCUUUUUUAAUUUGAUAGGCAUUUUUAAAAAUGAGAGAUACAGAUACUACCCAUAGUGUCUGGAGAAGAUCUAACAUUGACAUGUUAUUAAGCUUCUUUCCCUAUGAGAUAAAUCCCUCCUGCAUCUUUUGGCAUCUCCUUAUCUAUCUCCAGAAGGGUCCAGCAGAAUGGUCUCAAAUAAAAGACAUGUAGGUAAAACAAGUGUGUCUCCCAUGCUAUUUAACAUCUACAUGAGAUGACUGGGAGAAGUCAUCCAGAGUUUUGGAGUGUGGUGCCAUCUAUACCCAGAUGACACCCAAUUCCAAGGAAGCAGUUCCUGUGCCUGAUAGCUGUAAUGGACUGGAUGAAGGCAAACAAAUUGAAGCUUAAUUCAGACAAGUCAGAGGUGCUCCUGAUGAGUUGUAAGACAGAUAUGAGAAUAGAGAGUCAACUUAUGUUAGAUAGGGUCACCACACACCCCUGAAAAUGCAAGUUCUCAGUCUGUGGGUACUCCUUUUGCACAAUUAAAGCUAGCGCGCCAAUUGCACCCAUUCCUGGAGAAAUCUAUUCUGGCCAUGGUGGUCCAUGUCUUGGCUACAUCUCGGUUGGACUACUGUAAUGCGCUGUACGUGGAGCUGCCUUUGAAAAGUAUUUGGACACUUCAGUUGGUCCAAAGAACAGCAGCCAGACUGGUAAUUGGCCUGGCUACAGGGAGCUGACAACUCCAUUGUUGCAACAACUCCACUGGCUGCCAACCCAUUUCCCGGCACAGUCCUGGUUUUGACCUAGAAAGCCCUCUUUGGCUUUGGUCCAGGUUAUUUGAAGGACUGUAUCUCUUUCUGCAAACCUGUCAGACAUUUAAGAUCAAUUGGGGAUCUGUUUCACAAUCCACUCAAGGGCAUUUGGUUUUGGGAAAAUCAUGAUCUCUUAGAGUCAUAAACUUUCAGGAAAAGGCAAUCAAAGUAUUUUGGAAACAUAACCUUUUGAAAAGGCAUGACUUUCAGAGCCACAGAAGAACUAAAAACUGGUUUGAGUGAAUAUUCUCUUUAGUAGUAUUCAUGCAAGGGAGCCCCCAGUGGUGCAGCAGAUUAAACCGUUGAGCUGCUGAACUUGCUGACAGAAAGGUCCAUGGGUACGAAACUGGGGAAACAAGUUGAGCACCCGCA
rnacentral:lncRNA from 1 species